UACGGAAGGCAGCAGUGGGGAAUAUUGCACAAUGGGCGCAAGCCUGAUGCAGCAACGCCGCGUGAGGGACGACGGCCUUCGGGUUGUAAACCUCUUUUGGCAGGGAAGAAGCGAAAGUGACGGUACCUGCAGAAAAAGCACCGGCUAACUACGUGCCAGCAGCCGCGGUAAUACGUAGGGUGCAAGCGUUGUCCGGAAUUAUUGGGCGUAAAGAGCUCGUAGGCGGUUUGUCGCGUCUGCUGUGAAAACGCGAGGCUCAACCUCGCGCCUGCAGUGGGUACGGGCAGACUAGAGUGUGGUAGGGGAGAUUGGGAAUUCCUGGUGUAGCGGUGGAAUGCGCAGAUAUCAGGAGGAACACCGAUGGCGAAAGGGCAGAUCUCUGGGGCCAUUACUGACGCUGAGGAGCGAAAGCGUGGGGAGCGAACAGGGAUUAGAUACC
rnacentral:rRNA from 1 species